rnacentral:lncRNA from 10 species
CUGACUCAAAAAAAAAAAAAAAAAAGUACCAUGGUUGGAAUGAUAAAUGAUAUUGUCAUUUUUGUUAGCAGUGAAGUGAGUGGCAUCUAUGUAUUUUUUAAGGUAUAUAAUGAAAUUGUGCCUAGGGGAGUUAUAAUUUACUCUAUGUAUUUUUAUAUAUACUUAAAUCAAUACAUUCUUACAGACUAGCUUCUUUAGUGGUAACAUACAGGCCGAUUUUCUCACUCCAUGAAUGAUUACGGACAUGUAUCCAGGAGCGGAGGUCCCUCAGCCACCAGUUCACCCAGGUGUCUUGCUCUUAUCUUUCAGAAGGGAAAAUUGGCUAGGGGUUUCUCUCCACCAUGUGCUGUUCUCCAGGACUUUGGGUGAAUCCAGGUGUGGGAAAGAAGGUAGCAUCAGCUGUAAGAUUCAAUGAUGUCUCUGGUGCAGCAGAAUACAAACUGCGAACUUUGAAACGCUGUUGAAACUCCUUGGCUCCUCCUGGAGGCUCGAACUUGAAGGAAAGCGCUGAUUAGGUUGAGACUCUGGGCUUCAACACUAGAAUAAUGAAGCCUCCCUCAUAGCCCUCUUGCGAGGAGUCCCUGGGGGUAUUCCCAUGUGAGCCAAAGGGCUACUAGUGAAGAUGCCAUCAAGGGCUCCCCAAAAGGGACUGGUCUCGGGGAUCUCCGGGGUAGCAGAGGUAAAGUGGGGAGAGUAAUUCUAGUGACCAGGUGAGUUUCUGAACCCACAGUUUCUGAAGAUCAGCACUGUGAUUCUUGACUUUCAGCAGUGAGACAGAAAGAUGGCAUUGGAGAGCCUUGCUGUGGCUCCCGGAAACUCAAUCCUCAGCCCAUGGUCUGUUGCUCCAGAAAGCUACGUGUGAUUGAAGUGUUUUAU